GGUAUGGAAAUUAAUGUUCAUUUCAUUUAUAGAAUUACACAAAAACUGUUCAAAAUGUAUACCUGAAUAUGUAUGUCUGUGUGUGCACUUUCCCCUUUAAAUUUCUGACGGAAGAAUUGAUUUUAAUUUCCUGUCUUUGCGCCUCCUCUUCCCUUUCUGCGCUGUCUGUGCAUGGGAGAGAAAAGACAAGGGCGAAAAACACACUGUAAAAGACUUGUGUUAUGUUUAACAGUAAAUGAAGAACCGUCAACUGAUGUCCG